rnacentral:rRNA from 1 species
CAACCAGACUCCUACGGGAGGCAGCAGUGGGGGAUAUUGCACAAUGGGGGGAACCCUGAUGCAGCGACGCCGCGUGGGUGAAGGAGUGCUUCGGCAUGUAAAGCCCUAUCGGCAGGGAAGAAGCAAGACGGUACCUGACUAAGAAGCCCCGGCUAACUACGUGCCAGCAGCCGCGGUAAUACGUAGGGGGCGAGCGUUAUCCGGAUUCACUGGGUGUAAAGGGAGCGUAGACGGCCAAGCAAGCCAGGGGGGGAAGCCCGGGGCGCAACCCCGGGACUGCUCUUGGAACUGCGUGGCUGGAGUGCAGGAGGGGCAGGCGGAAUUCCUGGUGUAGCGGUAAAAUGCGUAGAUAUCAGGAGGAACACCGGUGGCGAAGGCGGCCUGCUGGACUGCAACUGACGUUGAGGCCCGAAAGCGUGGGGAGCAAACAGGAUUAGAUACCCGAGUAAA